rnacentral:rRNA from 1 species
GCGAACGCUGGCGGCGUGGAUAAGACAUGCAAGUCGAACGAGAGAAUUGCUAGCUUGCUAAUAAUUCUCUAGUGGCGCACGGGUGAGUAACACGUGAGUAACCUGCCCCCGAGAGCGGGAUAGCCCUGGGAAACUGGGAUUAAUACCGCAUAGUAUCGAAAGAUUAAAGCAGCAAUGCGCUUGGGGAUGGGCUCGCGGCCUAUUAGUUAGUUGGUGAGGUAACGGCUCACCAAGGCGAUGACGGGUAGCCGGUCUGAGAGGAUGUCCGGCCACACUGGAACUGAGACACGGUCCAGACACCUACGGGUGGCAGCAGUCGAGAAUCAUUCACAAUGGGGGAAACCCUGAUGGUGCGACGCCGCGUGGGGGAAUGAAGGUCUUCGGAUUGUAAACCCCUGUCAUGUGGGAGCAAAUUAAAAAGAUAGUACCACAAGAGGAAGAGACGGCUAACUCUGUGCCAGCAGCCGCGGUAAUACAGAGGUCUCAAGCGUUGUUCGGAAUCACUGGGCGUAAAGCGUGCGUAGGCUGUUUCGUAAGUCGUGUGUGAAAGGCGCGGGCUCAACCCGCGGACGGCACAUGAUACUGCGAGACUAGAGUAAUGGAGGGGGAACCGGAAUUCUCGGUGUAGCAGUGAAAUGCGUAGAUAUCGAGAGGAACACUCGUGGCGAAGGCGGGUUCCUGGACAUUAACUGACGCUGAGGCACGAAGGCCAGGGGAGCGAAAGGGAUUAGAUACCCCUGUAGUCCUGGCAGUAAACGGUGCACGCUUGGUGUGCGGGGAAUCGACCCCCUGCGUGCCGGAGCUAACGCGUUAAGCGUGCCGCCUGGGGAGUACGGUCGCAAGAUUAAAACUCAAAGAAAUUGACGGGGACCCGCACAAGCGGUGGAGUAUGUGGCUUAAUUCGAUGCAACGCGAAGAACCUUACCUGGGCUUGACAUGUAAUGAACAACAUGUGAAAGCAUGCGACUCUUCGGAGGCGUUACACAGGUGCUGCAUGGCCGUCGUCAGCUCGUGUCGUGAGAUGUUUGGUUAAGUCCAGCAACGAGCGCAACCCCUGUUGCCAGUUACCAGCACGUGAAGGUGGGGACUCUGGCGAGACUGCCCAGAUCAACUGGGAGGAAGGUGGGGACGACGUCAGGUCAGUAUGGCCCUUAUGCCCAGGGCUGCACACGUACUACAAUGCCCAGUACAGAGGGGGCCGAAGCCGCGAGGCGGAGGAAAUCCUAAAAACUGGGCCCAGUUCGGACUGUAGGCUGCAACCCGCCUACACGAAGCCGGAAUCGCUAGUAAUGGCGCAUCAGCUACGGCGCCGUGAAUACGUUCCCGGGUCUUGUACACACCGCCCGUCACAUCAUGGAAGCCGGUCGCACCCGAAGUAUCUGAAGCCAACCGCAAGGAGGCAGGGUCCUAAGGUGAGACUGGUAACUGGGAUG